CUGCUUAAUCUGUGUCUAACUGGGCACUCUGUCCCACUGCUUAAUCUGUGUCUAACUGGGCACUCUGUCCCACUGCUUAAUCUGUGUCUAACUGCGCACUCUGUCUCACUACCUAAUCUGUCUAACUGCGUACUCUGUCUCACUACUUAAUCUGUGUCUAACUGCGCACUCUGUCUCACUACCUAAUCUGUCUAACUGCGCACUCUGUCUCGCUAUGUAAUCUGUGUCUAACUGCGCACUCUCGCUACCUAAUCUGUGUCUAAUGCCUCGUUUCCACUGAGCGGUAUGGUUCGGGCCGGUGUGGUCUGGUACGCUAUUUGAAAUGUUUCCAUUAUGAAAGGGGCCCAUACAACCGAACCAAACUGCACCAUUCCUGGGCCCCCUUCAGAUGUAGGUCCAUAGGAAAUAGUAUGGUAUGGUUAGGGCGAAGCUAAUGGCGUCACACUAUACAAUCCAUUGAUUGGCGGAUAGGAAAACGUCAAUGCUCAUGACAAAUGACAAGCCAGGCAUUUGGUCUAAACCCCACAUGCCCCCUGGCAGUCUGAUUUGCAGUGGAAACACUCGCCUGAAUAGGAUAGACCAUUCUGACCUUUCCAAACUGUUACCGACCUGAACCAUACCACUCAGUGGAAAUGAGGCAUUACUGCGCACUCUGUCUCACUACCUAAUCUGUGUAUAACUGCGCACUCUGUCUCACUGCUUAAUCUGCACACUCACACAGAUUAAGCAGUGGGGCAGACAGACUGUGCAGUUAGAAAGUAGUGAGAUAGACAGCACAGUUAGACACAGAUUAAGCAGUGGGACAGAGUGGGCAGUUAGACACAGAUUAAGCAGUGGGACAUAGUGGGCAAUUAGACACAGAUUAAGCAGUGGGACAGAGUGGGCAGUUAGACACAGAUUAAGCAGUGGGACAUAGUGGGCAAUUAGACACAGAUUAAGCAGUGGGACAGAGUGGGCAGUUAGACACAGAUUAAGCAGUGGGACAGAGUGGGCAGUUAGACACAGAUCAAGCAGUGGGACAGAGUGGGCCGUUAGACACAGAUUAAGCAGUGGGACAGAGUGCCCAGUUAGAC